rnacentral:rRNA from 1 species
CGAAGGGGGCUAGCGUUGUUCGGAAUUACUGGGCGUAAAGCGCGCGUAGGCGGACGCUUAAGUCAGGGGUGAAAGGCCGGGGCUCAACCCCGGAACGGCCUUUGAUACUGGGCGUCUGGAGUCCGGAAGAGGUUGGUGGAAUUCCGAGUGUAGAGGUGAAAUUCGUAGAUAUUCGGAGGAACACCAGAGGCGAAGGCGGCCAACUGGUCCGGAACUGACGCUGAGGCGCGAAAGCGUGGGGAGCAAACAGGAUUAGAUACCCUGGUAGUCCACGCCGUAAACGAUGGAUGCCAGCCGUUGGCGGGCGUGCCCGUCAGUGGCGCAGCUAACGCAUUAAGCAUCCCGCCUGGGGAGUACGGUCGCAAGAUUA